rnacentral:misc_RNA from 1 species
GAUUAAGAACGCAGCGAAAUGCGAUACUUGGUGUGAAUUGCAGAAUCCCGUGAACCAUCGAGUCUUUGAACGCAAGUUGCGCCCGAAGCCAUUAGGCCGAGGGCACGCCUGCCUGGGCGUCACACGUCGUUGCCCCCCCAUCUACUCCUUCGGGAUUGCGGGGGGCGGAUGAUGGCCUCUCGUGCGCCUCGUCGCGCGGUUGGCCUAAAUGCCAAGUCCUCGGCGACGCACGCCACGACAAUCGGUGGUUGCGAAACCUCGGUUGCCUGUCGUGUGCGGUCGUCGCGCAUCGAGGGCUCGAAAAAAUUGCCGGGCUUCGGCUCGACUUUCAACGCGACCCCAGGUCAGGCGGGGUUACCCGCUGAAUUUAAGCAUAUCAAUAAGCGGAGGA